CACCGUACUCAAUAAAUAAGGAAGUGAACUGAUAUGAAGGCAUCUGGAAGAGUAGCAGGACGCUACAGUUCAUCUGAGCUUUUAACAAUGAAUCCCAAAAAUAUGCUGUUGGUAUUGAUAAUAGGUUAUGGUUCUGCUGCUGCUGAAAAGGUCGUCACUGUCUCCUGCGAAGACAUAAAAGUUAAGGGAGGAUAUGAAUUUCUUGCUAAGGAUCAUGUUGUACUUGACAAGAACAAGCUGACGUCUGAGGAAUGGACUGAGGAGAGUGUGAUGAAGGCGUAUAUCGAAUAUGACCCUCCAGUGAAUGACUCAGAUCCUACCAUUCUUGAGGUUUCCUUUGGAGAAAUCCUCAGGAACAUCUGUAAGAGUGUGAACUACACAGCCACCCUAAAUGACGGCUUCCAGAAGUUGGUGAGACAACCAGUAACACAACUUACCACAGUUUUACAUGACAACACUACUAGAAUUUUUCACCAUCCAUCCAUCCAUCCAUCCAUCCAUCCAUCCAUCCAUCCAUCUUUACUUAUCCAGAGCAGGACCACAGGGGACCUGUGGUCUAUCCCAGGCAGCCCAGAGACUGGAGUACAUCCUGCAGGAUUAUUUUAAAAAGGCCACAAAGUUUCCUAUAGUCCAAUAAUCCAAUAAUAUUGAAAAAUAUGAUGUCUUUGCUCACGUAUUAACGAAUGAAGUCUUGUGCAGCACCAGCUCGUGUAUCUCAUAAACAAUUCCUGUCUAAAAUGUUUCAUCAUUUCAGGAAAUAUCCCUGUGGUUUGUUGUCAAAGGUAAGAGGUCUGUCAGUUAAGUAUUCAUAUUACCGAUUGUGCCUAGCUAAAAGUGCUUGUUUCUCUGUAAUCUGUAAUUUAUUAGGCGCCCUAGUAAAUGCAUAUUUCAAUCAUCUACACGGAUAAAAUGAGGCGUGUCCUUAACUACACUGCAACAUGUCAUCAUGUCCGUGUCCUUAACUACACUGUAACAUGUCAUCAUGUCCGUGUCAUUAACUACACUGUAACAUGUCAUCAUGUCCGUGUCCUUAACUACACUGCAACAUGCCAUCAUGUCCGUGUCCUUAACUACACUGUAACAUGUCAUCAUGUCCGUGUCCUUAACUACACUGCAACAUGUCAUCAUGUCCGUGUCCUUAACUACACUGUAACAUGUCAUCAUGUCCGUGUCCUUAACUACACUGCAACAUGUCAUCAUGUCCGUGUCCUUAACUACACUGUAACAUGUCAUCAUGUCCGUGUCCUUAACUACACUGUAACAUGCCAUCAUGUCCGUGUCCUUAACUACACUGCAACAUGCCAUCAUGUCCGUGUCCUUAACUACAGUGUAACAUGCCAUCAUGUCCGUGUCCUUAACUACACUGCAACAUGCCAUCAUGUCCGUGUCCUUAACUACAGUGUAACAUGCCAUCAUGUCCGUGUCCUUAACUACACUGUAACAUGCCAUCAUGUCCGUGUCCUUAACUACACUGCAACAUGUCAUCAUGUCCGUGUCCUUAACUACACUGCAACAUGUCAUCAUGUCCGUGUCCUUAACUACACUGUAACAUGUCAUCAUGUCCGUAUCCUUAACUACACUGCAACAUGUCAUCAUGUCCGUGUCCUUAACUACACUGCAACAUGUCAUCAUGUCCGCGUCCUUAACUACACUGUAACAUGCCAUCAUGUCCGAGUCCUUAACUACACUGCAACAUGUCAUCAUGUCCGUGUCCUUAACUACACUGCAACAUGUCAUCAUGUCCGUGUCCUUAACUACACUGCAACAUGUCAUCAUGUCCGCGUCCUUAACUACACUGUAACAUGCCAUCAUGUCCGAGUCCUUAACUACACUGUAACAUGCCAUCAUGUCCGUGUCCUUAACUACACUGCAACAUGCCAUCAUGUCCGUGUCCUUAACUACACUGCAACAUGCCAUCAUGUCCGUGUCCUUAACUACACUGCAACAUGCCAUCAUGUCCGUGUCCUUAACUACACUGUAACAUGCCAUCAUGUCCACUUUGCAAGCCUUUUUAAGUUGAAGUUGAUCUUGGAACUUGGUUGCAAAUGUUUACUUUCCAUUCUUCCUCUUCCCUCAUAUUUUAUAAUACUCUCGCAUGAAAUAUUUUACAUUGUUUGCCUUUUUUGCACUGUAUAAUGACAAUAUAGUUAAAUUGAAAUAAUAAAAAAUGUCUCCAUGCAGAUGACCCAGAAGACACUGGCAGUAUCUCCUGGAUCAUUGCUUUGGGUAACAUAGAUCCCUCAUCCACACCAGGAUGUCCAAGCCCUACAUCUAAUGCAAUGUUUCUGAAAAUGGUCCUCAGGGACCCCCAGACAGUCCACAGCUGGGAGGAAGGAAAAAUGUGAACCAUCUGUGGGGGUGUCUGAGGACUGGGUUGAGAAACACUGGUCUAAUGUAAUAGUAAUUUUAUUUUUAUUUUGUUAGCUCUCAUUCCAGUUCAUUCCCUAAUGCUUCAGACCUUAAUUCUUCAGGUUAUGUAAUGCGAGCACUUUUUGCGAUUUGUCGUACGUUCUUUGAUCAGAUGUCACUCAGUGGUGCACUGCAUGUGCUCAGGAAUCAAAAUGACUUCAGUGGCUGGAUGAGCUGGAAAUGCAGGAUUUUAUAAACGGUAGCAAAUUUUAUUACUGAAGAAGGAAAUCAGAGUAAAAAGGGAGUCAUGCACCCUGAUGUUCUCCAUCAGUCCAGAUGUUCAUCUACAUUCAGAUUCAAAGAUCCAAAGUUUUACAUACGUAGAAAUAGAGUGUAUAGAGUACAGUGAAGUUCUGUCUGGAACGCCUUUGCCACACAGUACAGACAGAGCGGCGUAACACUGCAACACAAUAAAUACUAAGUACAAAACAUUAACUAAUAUGAGUUGUCUAACAACAUAUAACUUACAACAUUCAGCAUCAGGUAGUAAAGUGAUAUGCGGCAGUAGCGAUGUAAAGUGGAACAGUGGAUAGAAUAUAGAGAAUGUUGCAGCAGUAUUACAGAAUUAGCAAAUAAUAAUAUGUGAAAAGGCAAGGUGAGAAGCCAGGGACAGAUCAGUACAAAAGAGCGCGAAGCGUAGAGUUAUUACGUCAGAUAAAGCUGCAUGUGCAGUGUGACUGAUUGACAGCUUGAUCACUGUCUGCCACGUCUAGGCACUGGUUUCCUGGUUAUCGUCUUCUUUCUGGGGCUGCCGGCAUACCUCUGGUGGAGAAAGAAGAACAGAGCUGGCGGAUGCACUGAAAAAUUUGGCUUGAAGACGGAAAAUUAUUCUCUAACUAUAUACAGCUUCUUCAUGCUUUGCGAUGCUCGAUUUACAUAAUUUUAACCAUUUGAUGAUACAAUAGUGAAGCACAAUCGGUAGUCAUCAAACUUUGAAUUUCUGUUCCUGGGCUAGUGAUAUACCGUGUGAUACUUUCUACGGAUGUUGGGAGACUGCAGCAACCAUACAGGCAAACUGUAGCCAUCCUAAGCACGAGCUUCUUACAGUAUACUAGUAUACUACUAUACUACUAUACUAAGCACCCAAGUGUGUCAUAUUAUAUAUAUAUAUAUUAUAACAUAUAUAUUCAUAACUGACUUACGAAACAUUAUCCCACCGGGAGUCAAAGAGUAUAUAUGUACAUAGUAUGAUAUAUUAAAAUAAUAAUGAUUAUACAUAAUUAUAAAUAUUAUAUAAAUAUAUAAUUCAUAAUAUUAAUAUAAUGCAGUAUUAUAUGUCUAUUUUUAUAUAGUAUGCCACCCUGUCAAUUAACCUUAGUUGUUAUGGUGAUAAUCUCUCUCUCUAGUUGAUGGAAUACUAUAUAAAAAUAAAUUAGACAUAUAUAACCACCCAUCUUCCAUAAUUGCUCUGUGCUGGAGCCAAUGUGUAGCUUAGUGGGUCAGGACACUGCGUCUGCACUAGGGGCAGUGUGUGGCUCAGUGGGUCAGGACACUGCGCCUGCGCUGGAGGCAGUGUGUGGCUCAGUGGGUCAGGACACUGCGUCCAUGAUUGGAGGCAGUGUGUGGCUCAGUGGGUCAGGACACUGCGUCCGUGAUUGGAGGCAGUGUGUGGCUCAGUGGGUCAGGACACUGCGUCCGUGAUUGGAGGCAGUGUGUGGCUCAGUGAGUCAGGACACUGCGUCUGCGCUGGAGGCAGUGUGUGGCUAAGUGGAUCCGGACACUGCGUCUGUGAUUGGAGGCAGUGUGUGGCUCAGUGGGUCAGGACACUGCGUACUGUGAUUGGAGGGCUGCUAGUUCACAGCACAAGGUUUGGCACCAUGAUUUCACUGUCGGACACUUGAGCACUUAAUCCAAAUUCCUCCAAAGACUGUCUGAUCCCACUUCCUCAAAAGCUUACAUGACUUUGGACGAAAGCUUGUACUUAAAGUUCAAUGUGCAGCUAUAUUUGAUAACUGGUUAUGGAAGAUGGAUGUUAAUUUCUACACAAGAUGUUUUUGUCACAUAAUUUUUUGACAUUCUAGUGGCAAAAUGAAAAAAAAUUAUUCAUACCAGGUUACUUGUGGAAAGAACCUUAAGCAUAUAUGUUUGCAUAUAUAAUAAAUUAAUGGAUGGUAAAAUAUAUGUUUGUGAUCAGAUACAAAUUAUACAAUACUGUAUAAUUAUGUUUAAUAUAUAUGAAAUUGUAUGAUGUAUAUGAGGAGUUCCUGAAUUCUUGAUGACCACCGACCGGCAUACAUUGUGUGAAACUUUCACGAACUGAAGGAUUGAUAGGAAAACAUAGUUAUCAUCUUAGCUUGUUUACUAACUGCUUGCUGACUUUUGCUACCACCAGCUCCCUUUCUUCACACGUCUUCUUCUAUGCUUGUUAGUAAAUCAUGUAUCAAUAAACUUUAUUAAAACUUC